rnacentral:lncRNA from 10 species
UUUCUGAAUAACAAAGCACAGUGGAAUCACUCAGGAAAUGCGAAGGGUUUGGGAAGCUCUGUGCCAGAAACCAUGGACAAAGACAAACAGGCAUUCAGCUCUGUGAAUAAAAGCAUUCUGCUGAUUUCUGCUGCCCUGUAUCCAGACGGAAGGAAUGGCUGAAGAAAUGGAGGUGCUACUGGCUCAAGGAACCUGGAUUCAUUUAGAGAGUGUGCCCAGGAUGAGACGUGUGGAGAGCCUGGCCUGAACCAACACUAACAGUCUCCUGGACAGGAGAUAAGAAAAUGGAGGUCACGAGCUGGAGAACUCCUUGCUCAAGUUGCAUAGCUAAUAAGGGACUUAGCUGGGAUUCCUGGCCAGCAGUGUGGCUCCAGGCCUGGUUUCUAACUUCCCCUUGUUGGCAACCACCUUCACAGAGGAAUGCAAGAGAAGCCCCCCAACCUGCCCCAUCUCCAGCUAUGCACACAGCCUGCAUCCCGGAUCACUGCCCCAUGCUGACAGAAGCCUGUACCCAAACACUCUUCACUGGGUCCUGAGUCUCUUGUUCUGGAAGGAACAACCUAGAAACCUCGACGUCACUGUUCACCAACAAAAAGUGAAUCUAUUACAACGCACAUCCCUGCUUUGCUGUUUUUAUGGCUUGCCUGUGGAAAGCAGGGUCUGUAGAGCGCACUAAGAAAAAGCCUGACAGAGAUCCCAGCGACGUUUCAGAUCAGAGGAGAAAAUCUGUCCCAACCUCAUCCGUUUGGAGGCAGGGGGGAAGGGGUCUUCCAGGACUCCAGGGUGAACCAGAGCCCCCCGUCUCCUGUGUGGAUCCAUGUCCACAUUCAUGAUGCGGGCAGUGUGUUCUCAAGCUAUAUGGAAAGCAACUUUUUGUAAGCAGAAUAAUAUUUUUUAUUGCACGGGAUGAGGAGCUAUUUUUGUAAAGGAAUCCUGCAGUGAAUAAUUUGUACAAUGAGGAACCCUCCUGUGCUGCAAAUGUAUUUAAUUUAAUAAAAACCUACAUUUGGAUCUCAGGGUUUCUUAAAACAAUGCACACACCACAUACAGGAAUAAAUACAUUUCUGUACACACAGAUACAUUAGAUAGGGUAAUGCCAGAAGCUAUACAGAUGAACCCUAGCACACCAGUGCCUUACGUGCUCGUGGAACAGUCCUGGUUGGCAGGCUCUCUCCUUUCCCUUGUGAUUCGGAGACCCUGGUUCCUUCCAUCUCACGCCCUCCACCAUUCCCUGAGACCUCGGAGGUCCCGGCGGCCUUGGCAUUCAGCCAGCAGACAGGGAGAGUGGCCUGAGUGAGACCCGUGACGCUUCCCCUCUCCUCCCACUGUUGUUCUCAAGACUCCUAAAUAAAGCAUUUCCCCUGUGUGGGCGACCCCUGGGUCCCAUGUGGGGUCAGUGUUUGGGUCUCUCUGAGAGGAUCAGGAAGGCUGCUCUUCCAGGAAGGGCUGCAGGGACCCUGGGAACCGGACCAGUCCAGCUCACAAGUAUGAAGAGAAUGUCGGGAGAGGAAGUGGUGGCUAUGAGUCAGCAUGAGUCAUCUCGUUCCAAUGAGAAUGAAGGCUGAGACAAGCGGUGCCUGAGCCCGUGCCUGUCUUCAGAUCUUCACAGCACAGUUCCUGGGAAGGUGGAGCCACCAGCCUCUCCCUGAAUAACUGGGAGAUGAAACAGGAAGCUCUAUGACACACUUGAUCGAAUAUGACAGACACUGAAAAUCACGACUCAUCCCCCUCCAGCACCUCUACCUGUUGCCCGCCGAUCACAGCCGGAAUGCAGCUGAAAGAUUCCCUGGGGCCUGGUUCCAACUGCCCACUGUGGACUCUGAGGCCUCUGCAUUUGCGGGUGGUCUGCCUGUGAUAUUUUGGUCAUGGGCUGGUCUGGUCGGUUUCCCAUUUGUCUGGCCAGUCUCUGUGUGUCUUAAUCCCUUGUCCUUCAUUAAAAGCAAAACUAAAGAAAACAGAA